rnacentral:rRNA from 1 species
GAUGAACGCUGGCGGCGUGCCUAAUACAUGCAAGUCGAGCGAACGGACGAGAAGCUUGCUUCUCUGAUGUUAGCGGCGGACGGGUGAGUAACACGUGGAUAACCUACCUAUAAGACUGGGAUAACUUCGGGAAACCGGAGCUAAUACCGGAUAAUAUUUUGAACCGCAUGGUUCAAAAGUAAAAGACGGUCUUGCUGUCACUUAUAGAUGGAUCUGCGCUGCAUUAGCUAGUUGGUAAGGUAACGGCUUACCAAGGCAACGAUGCAUAGCCGACCUGAGAGGGUGAUCGGCCACACUGGAACUGAGACACGGUCCAGACUCCUACGGGAGGCAGCAGUAGGGAAUCUUCCGCAAUGGGCGAAAGCCUGACGGAGCAACGCCGCGUGAGUGAUGAAGGUCUUCGGAUCGUAAAACUCUGUUAUUAGGGAAGAACAUAUGUGUAAGUAACUGUGCACAUCUUGACGGUACCUAAUCAGAAAGCCACGGCUAACUACGUG